UUCCAUCUCUCGGGGUGCACGCCAAAGUGCUGAGACGACUAAGUGGAAAUUCAAUUUCCCGGCUGUCGGGCCCGUUGAACUUGAUCUGGUUAAAGCCAGCGUAGGGAAGAGAAGAUUCUAAGGA
rnacentral:ncRNA from 2 species